rnacentral:rRNA from 1 species
AUUGAACGCUGGCGGCAGGCCUAACAUAUGCAAGUCGAGCGGAUGAAGGGAGCUUGCUCCUGGAUUCAGCGGCGGACGGGUGAGUAAUGCCUAGGAAUCUGCCUGGUCGUGGGGGAUGACGUCCGCAAACGGGCGCUAAUACCGCAUACGUCCUGAGUGAGAAAGUGAGGGAUCUUCGGACCUCACGCUAUCAGCUGAGCCUAGGUCGGAUUAGCUAGUUGGUGGGGUAAAGGCCUACCAAGGCGACGAUCCGUAACUGGUCUGAGAGGAUGAUCAGUCACACUGGAACUGAGACACGGUCCAGGCUCCUACGGGAGGCAGCAGUGGGGAAUAUUGGACAAUGGGCGAAAGCCUGAUCCAGCCAUGCCGCGUGUGUGAAGAAGGCCUUCGGAUUGUAAAGCACUUUAAGUUGGGAGGAAGGGAAGUAAGUUAAUACCUUGCUUUUUUGACGUUACCAACAGAAUAAGCACCGGCUAACUUCGUG